GUUUUUCAGGAGAUCCUGCAGCCUACUACAGUGCAAGAACAACUUCCCUGAGAACCUAGGGGUUUCCAGCAAACUCAACCCCAUUUUACCCAUAGCUCUGAUUCCUGUUCCUCCUGGCGCUCCCACCAACCCAUGCCUUCUCCAUCCAGCUUCAAAAUCUAGACCGAGAUUCACAGGCACUCCAGGUCUGGUUUUGGUCUAUGCAGAAAAGAAAAACAUCUGAGGUUGCUACUCAUGUUAUCAAAGAUAGAAAAUUAAAAACAAAAAUGAAGCAUCAAAAGGGACCGGCACCCGGAUUUGGUGAGAAAUUGCUUCCAAAGAGAAGAUUCAAAACAAAGGGCCAAUCUCUUCAAACCAGACAGGUGCUACUUCAGAUUUAUGCUCAAGAAUCACUAGGUGGGACUUCCAAGCUAGACAGUGCAGCCCGCCUGGGUGACAGAAUCAUCACUUAUCUGGCUACAGCGUUGCAGAUAAAAGCUCAGAAGUGCCACCAUGUAUGAAUUCACAUGUGUGAAUCCUCCUGCAGAGGAAGCUUGUAUCACCAAUUUGGGAAGUGGAAAUGUUUCAGCCCAGGUGAGGCUCCAAGGCACCUAUAAAACUCCAGAAACCACUCAAGAGACUCUGCAGGUAGCAAAGUUGGAUCCUCGCUGUUUACAUGACUUGCAGGCAAGACAGAGGCACUGAGUCUCACUGUGUCCACUUUAAUGAGGAGUAAAAUCUAUCACUUGCCCCACCUUCCCAAUAGGAUAAAGGACAAACAAAAUACUGGAUGCCAACAGCAGCAUGUGAGCAAGCCUUGGAAGGGUCUAUCCUGGUUCCCAAUCUUCCCCCUUCCCUUCUUUCUUUAUAUAUCAAGAACCUCCCAUUAAGUUGUCCUUGAGUGACAUUAGACUCUCCAUAAAAAGGGAAGGUUCCAGGUUCCCUGCUCUACCUGGUGAGGAGUGGGGCUGAGUGCCGAGAGAAGAGAGAGAACAUGUGAAGAAGCCUGGGGAGAGAACACAGGUGGAAAUAUGUGGAGCAGAGAGACGUGUAAAGAAAAACGGCCUGCUUGCUUCUUGGCUUUGGACUUAACACCAGGGACUAGGGGGACUCUGAGGAAAAACAUGGAGUCGCGAAGGUAGAGAAGACCUGGUAGAGUGAGAUGGGUGAGAGACCUGGGAGGGGGGCUGACAACGGCUGCCAUUAGCUUGACCUGUGCUUUGAUUUUGCUCCUUUCCUUCCAGGCUUGCCUGCUCUUCCUGCCCCUUCCCUAUGGGUCACCGCCAGGAGGUGCCUUAGACUGGUGGCAGGCUUUGGGGCUUCAGUGUCCCUGCUUUGGGCCAACCCUGUUUGCUGGGCAUUUAUCCACAAGGGGAUGGGUAAACUGGUUGUUUCAUGGGGAAACUAUAUCCUUUCUCUUAUUCCCUGUUUAUGUAUAGUCGUUCUAUUAAAGAUCUUUGUCAGUAAGAGACUGCUGUGUCUUUA